UACGGGGGGGGCAAGCGUUGUUCGGAAUGACUGGGCGUAAAGGGCGCGUAGGCGGCCUUCUAAGUCAGACGUGAAAUCCCCCGGCUUAACCUGGGAACUGCGUCUGAUACUGGGAGGCUUGAGUAUGGGAGAGGGAUGUAGAAUUCCAGGUGUAGCGGUGAAAUGCGUAGAUAUCUGGAGGAAUACCGGUGGCGAAGGCGGCAUCCUGGACCAUAACUGACGCUGAGGCGCGAAAGCUAGGGGAGCAAACGGG
rnacentral:rRNA from 1 species